rnacentral:rRNA from 1 species
UAGGGAAUUUUGCGCAAUGGGCGAAAGCCUGACGCAGCAACGCCGCGUGAUCGAGACGCCCUUCGGGGUGUAAAGAUCUGUCAGUGGGGACGAAUAAUGACGGUACCCACAGAGGAAGCACCGGCUAACUCCGUGCCAGCAGCCGCGGUAAUACGGGGGGUGCAAGCGUUGUCCGGAAUCAUUGGGCGUAAAGAGUUCGUAGGCGGCACGUAAAGUCUGGUGUUAAAUUCAGAGGCUCAACUUCUGUACGGCACUGGAUACUUGCGAGCUAGAAUGCGGUAGAGGUAAAGGGAAUUCCUGGUGUAGCGGUGAAAUGCUUAGAUAUCAGGAGGAACAUCGGUGGCGUAAGCGCUUUACUGGGCCGUAAUUGACGCUGAGGAACGAAAGCCAGGGUAGCAAAUGGGAUUAGAUACC